AAAUACCACCCUUUAAUGUUUGAUGUUCUAACGUGGGCCCCUGAACGGGGUUGCGGACAGUGUCUGGUGGGUAGUUUGACUGGGGCGGUCUCCUCCCAAAGAGUAACGGAGGAGCACGAAGGUUAGCUAAUCCUGGUCGGACAUCAGGAGGUUAGUGCAAAGGCAUAAGCUAGCUUGACUGCGAGAGUGACGGCUCGAGCAGGUGCGAAAGCAGGUCUUAGUGAUCCGGUGGUUCUGAAUGGAAGGGCCAUCGCUCAACGGAUAAAAGGUACUCCGGGGAUAACAGGCUGAUACCGCCCAAGAGUUCAUAUCGACGGCGGUGUUUGGCACCUCGAUGUCGGCUCAUCACAUCCUGGGGCUGAAGUAGGUCCCAAGGGUACGGCUGUUCGCCGUUUAAAGUGGUACGCGAGCUGGGUUUAGAACGUCGUGAGACAGUUCGGUCCCUAUCUGCCGUGGGCGUUGGAAGAUUGAGGGGGGUUGCUCCUAGUACGAGAGGACCGGAGUGAACGCACCACUGGUGUUCGGGUUGUGAUGCCAAUUGCAUUGCCCGGUAGCUAAGUGCGGAAGAGAUAACCGCUGAAAGCAUCUAAGCGGGAAACUUGCCCCGAGAUGAGUCUUCCCUGGGACUUCGA
rnacentral:rRNA from 1 species